GUGCUCGCUUCGGCAGCACACAUACUAAAAUUGGAACGAUAUAGAGAUUAUUAGCAUGGCCCCUGCGCAAAGAUGACACGCAAAUUCAUGAAUGUAUAUAUAUAUGC
ensembl:snRNA U6 U6 spliceosomal RNA